UGAGGAACAUGACCUUCGGCGGGGGAUAGCCGGCCCAACGGCCGGGUAAUACCGCGUACGACCACUUUGGGACAUCCCUCGGUGGUGAAAGCAGCAAUGCGCCGAUGGAGUGCCUCGCGGCCUAUCAGCUAGUUGGUGAGGUAACGGCCCACCAAGGCGACGACGGGUAGCCGGCCUGAGAGGGUGACCGGCCACACUGGGACUGAGACACGGCCCAGACUCCUACGGGGAGGCAG
rnacentral:rRNA from 1 species